GAUGAACGCUGGCGGCGUGCCUAAUACAUGCAAGUCGAGCGAACGGACGAGAAGCUUGCUUCUCUGAUGUUAGCGGCGGACGGGUGAGUAACACGUGGAUAACCUACCUAUAAGACUGGGAUAACUUCGGGAAACCGGAGCUAAUACCGGAUGAUAUUUUGAACCGCAUGGUUCAAAAGUGAAAGACGGUCUUGCUGUCACUUAUAGAUGGAUCCGCGCUGCAUUAGCUAGUUGGUAAGGUAACGGCUUACCAAGGCAACGAUGCAUAGCCGACCUGAGAGGAUGAUCAGCCACACUGGAACUGAGACACGGUCCAGACUCCUACGGGAGGCAGCAGUAGGGAAUCUUCCGCAAUGGGCGAAAGCCUGACGGAGCAACGCCGCGUGAGUGAUGAAGGUCUUCGGAUCGUAAAACUCUGUUAUUAGGGAAGAACAUAUGUGUAAGUAACUGUGCACAUCUUGACGGUACCUAAUCAGAAAGCCACGGCUAACUACGUG
rnacentral:rRNA from 1 species